GAAACUCAAAGGAAUUGACGGGGGCCCGCACAAGCGGCGGAGCAUGUGGAUUAAUUCGAUGCAACGCGAAGAACCUUACCUGGGCUUGACAUACACCAGAUCGGCGCAGAGAUGCGUUUUCCCUUGUGGUUGGUGUACAGGUGGUGCAUGGUUGUCGUCAGCUCGUGUCGUGAGAUGUUGGGUUAAGUCCCGCAACGAGCGCAACCCUUGUCUUAUGUUGCCAGCACGUGAUGGUGGGGACUCAUGAGAGACUGCCGGGGUUAACUCGGAGGAAGGUGGGGAUGACGUCAAAUCAUCAUGCCCCUUAUGUCCAGGGCUUCACACAUGCUACAAUGGUCGGUACAACGCGUGUGCGACACUGUGAGGUGAAGCUAAUCGCUCUAAAGCCGGUCGUAGUUCGGAUUGGGGUCUGCAACUCGACCCCAUGAAGUCGGAGUCGCUAGUAAUCGCAGAUCAGCAACGCUGCGGUGAAUACGUUCCCGGGCCUU
rnacentral:rRNA from 1 species